UACAGAGGUCUCAAGCGUUGUUCGGAUUCAUUGGGCGUAAAGGGUGCGUAGGCGGCGCGGUAAGUCGGGUGUGAAAUCUCGGAGCUCAACUCCGAGCGGUCGUGGGAAACUGGGCGGCUAGAGUCCGGUAGGGGAGCGUGGAAUUCCUGGUGUAGCGGUGAAAUGCGCAGAUAUCAGGAGGAACACCAGCGGCGAAGGCGGCGCUCUGGGCCGGAACUGACGCUGAGGAGCGAAAGCGUGGGUAGCAAACAGG
rnacentral:rRNA from 1 species